rnacentral:rRNA from 1 species
AAGCAACGCGAAGAACCUUACCAGGCCUUGACAUGCAGAGAACUUUCCAGAGAUGGAUUGGUGCCUUCGGGAACUCUGACACAGGUGCUGCAUGGCUGUCGUCAGCUCGUGUCGUGAGAUGUUGGGUUAAGUCCCGUAACGAGCGCAACCCUUGUCCUUAGUUACCAGCACGUUAUGGUGGGCACUCUAAGGAGACUGCCGGUGACAAACCGGAGGAAGGUGGGGAUGACGUCAAGUCAUCAUGGCCCCUACGGCCUGGGCUACACACGUGCUACAAUGGUCGGUACAAAGGGUUGCCAAGCCGCGAGGUGGAGCUAAUCCCAUAAAACCGAUCGUAGUCCGGAUCGCAGUCUGCAACUCGACUGCGUGAAGUCGGAAUCGCUAGUAAUCGUGAAUCAGAAUGUCACGGUGAAUACGUUCCCGGGCCUU